GAUCAUGGCUCAGGAUGAACGCUAGCGGCAGGCUUAACACAUGCAAGUCGAGGGGCAGCGGGAUGUAGCAAUACAUUGCCGGCGACCGGCGGAUGGGUGCGUAACGCGUAUGCAACCUACCUUAUACAGGGGAAUAACCUUUCGAAAGGGAGACUAACACCCCAUAGUAUUGAUUUAAGGCAUCUUAGAUUAAUUAAAUAUUUAUAGGUAUAAGAUGGGCAUGCGUAUGAUUAGCUAGUUGGUAAGGUAACGGCUUACCAAGGCGACGAUCAUUAGGGGUUCUGAGAGGAAGGUCCCCCACACUGGUACUGAGACACGGACCAGACUCCUACGGGAGGCAGCAGUGAGGAAUAUUGGUCAAUGGGCGCAAGCCUGAACCAGCCAUGCCGCGUGCAGGAAAAGACGGCCUUAUGGGUUGUAAACUGCUUUUACAUAAGACUAACCGUAUAUUUGCGAAUAUACCUGAAUGUAUUAUGAGAAUAAGGAUCGGCUAACUCCGUGCCAGCAGCCGC
rnacentral:rRNA from 1 species